rnacentral:rRNA from 1 species
UACGGGGGGAGCAAGCGUUGUUCGGAUUUACUGGGCGUAAAGGGCGCGUAGGCGGCCAGUGCAAGUCAGUUGUGAAAUCUCCGAGCUUAACUCGGAAAGGUCAACUGAUACUGCUCGGCUAGAGUGCGGAAGGGGCAACUGGAAUUCUUGGUGUAGCGGUGAAAUGCGUAGAUAUCAAGAGGAACACCUGCGGCGAAGGCGGGUUGCUGGGCCGACACUGACGCUGAGGCGCGAAAGCUAGGGGAGCGAACAGG